UACAGAGGUCUCAACCGUUGUUCGGAUUCAUUGGGCGUAAAGGGUGCGUAGGCGGUCGCGCAAGUCGGAUGUGAAAUCUCAGGGCUCAACCCUGAAACUGCAUUCGAUACUGCGUGGCUAGAGUGCCGGAGAGGAGACUGGAAUUUACGGUGUAGCAGUGAAAUGCGUAGAUAUCGUAAGGAAGACCAGUGGCGAAGGCGAGUCUCUGGACAGCAACUGACGCUGAGGCACGAAGGCCAGGGGAGCAAACGGG
rnacentral:rRNA from 1 species